rnacentral:lncRNA from 1 species
GAUAAGAAUGAGGAGGGACUGACUGAUCAAAGAUAGAGACAGAGAAGAGGACGACUCAGAGAAGAGAUGAGCAGAGCAUUGGACUGGACAUGGAGCACAGACUGAUGAUCAUCUGUAUGUCCUUCUGGAUGCAAGGGCUCCUGUCUGAAAACAACAGCACUUCAACAGAGUCGGUCCACUUCAGGUGGGUGGGAGGAGCCAGUCGUUGUCAUGGUGACCUGGAGAUGAAACGACAGGAUGGAAACUGGAAACCAGUGGAAGGGUUAUACUGGUACAGGAAGUUAGGAAACAGAGUUUGUGCAGAACUGGACUGUGGAUCUGCAGUUUCACUGAGAGGCAGAGACACUAGUUCAGAAAUAGAUAAUUGGUCGAUCAGAUCAGACUGUGAUGAAUCUGAACUGAGGGACUGUUUCACAUCUGAUUCAUUUCUUGAUUCACCCCUGGAGCUGACUUGUUCAGGUAAGAGCAUGAACACUGAACCCUAACCCUUCCACUGUCACUGUGGGCUCCAGACUCUGUGGACUCUCAGAUCCGGGUCGGUCCAAGACUUCAACUCACAUUUAAUGUGAACUCACACAAACUGAUCAAUA